rnacentral:tRNA from 1 species
GUGCCCGUAGCUCAGCUGGAUAGAGCGUCAGACUCCGACUCUGAAGGCCGUGCGUUCGAAUCGCAUCGGGCAUACCA